rnacentral:SRP_RNA from 1 species
GCCGGGCGCGGUGGCUCAAGCCUGUAAUCCCAGCACUUUGGGAGGCCGAGACGGGCGGAUCACGAGGUCAGGAGAUCGAGACCAUCCUGGCUAACACGGUGAAACCCCGUCUCUACUAAAAAAUACAAAAAAUUAGCCGGGCGAGGUGGCGGGCGCCUGUAGUCCCAGCUNNNNNNNNNNAGCUGGGACUACAGGCGCCCGCCACCUCGCCCGGCUAAUUUUUUGUAUUUUUUAGUAGAGACGGGGUUUCACCGUGUUAGCCAGGAUGGUCUCGAUCUCCUGACCUCGUGAUCCGCCCGUCUCGA